rnacentral:rRNA from 1 species
CUUUCUUUGCUGGCGACCGGCGCACGGGUGAGUAACACGUAUCCAACCUGCCCUUUACUCGGGGAUAGCCUUUCGAAAGAAAGAUUAAUACCCGAUAGCAUAAUGAUUCCGCAUGGUUUCAUUAUUAAAGGAUUCCGGUAAAGGAUGGGGAUGCGUUCCAUUAGGUUGUUGGUGAGGUAACGGCUCACCAAGCCUUCGAUGGAUAGGGGUUCCGAGAGGAAGGUCCCCCACAUUGGAACUGAGACACGGUCCAA